GGGGGGGGGGGGGGGGGGGGGGGGGGGGGGGGGGGGGGGGGGGGGGGGGGGGGGGGGGGGGGGGGGGGGGGGGGCAGCGGCAGCGCUCGCUGAAGGCUUUGACAAGAGAGCCGCUUACCCAGCGCUGCGCAGGAGAUUGACUCUGCCCGCCGGCUCUCCGNGCAGGAGAUUGACUCUGCCCGCCGGCUCUCCGUCGGGGGAGCGAACACUCCGAGCCGUCCGAAAUCAUUCCUCUUGCGGCUCCUUUCGAGGAAUCACGGAAUCACUUGGGUUGGAAAAGACCUCUGAGAUCCAGCCUGUGGCCCUCUGGGUGCCACGUCCAGCCUUUCCUCGAACGCCUGAGGGAUGGUGGCUCCGGCACCCGCCUGGGCGGCCCGUUCCCAUGGCUAAUCACACCUCCCGUGAGGAAAAUACUCCUCGCGUCCAACCUAGACCUCCCCCGCAGCAAUUUGAGACCAUAAAGACUUGGUCGAGGGAGUUUACAAUCAGACAGUCUGUGUGCACAUUUAUUCACACAGUCAGAGAGCAUAGUGCAGGCAAUGGCUGCUCUAACCUAAUUCAAGUUACUCAUGAAGAUCACAGAAACCUGCUGGGGGCACAAGGUAGUAGAGCACUUUUCAUCAAUACCACGUUACCUGUUUGUCUGAAAUAGUUACAUUAGUUGCUGUCAUGGACAUUUGUUAGGCAGUUUUAUUUGCAGAUUGCCAUGAAUUAGCACAUUCUACAACUACCUGACGGGAGAGUGUAGCCAAG
rnacentral:lncRNA from 12 species